rnacentral:rRNA from 1 species
AAAGCUCCCUUCGGGGAGUGCAUAGAGUGGCGCACGGGUGAGUAACACGUAAGUAAUCUACCUUUGAGUGGGGAAUAACCCGGGGAAACCCGAGCUAAUACCGCAUAAUGCAGCGGCACCGCAAGGUGACAGUUGUUAAAGGAGCAAUCCGCUUAAAGAGGAGCUUGCGGCAGAUUAGCUAGUUGGUAAGGUAACGGCUUACCAAGGCUACGAUCUGUAUCCGGUCUAAGAGGACGGUCGGACACACUGACACUGAAUAACGGGUCAGACUCCUACGGGAGGCAGCAGUCGGGAAUUUUGGGCAAUGGGGGAAACCCUGACCCAGCAACGCCGCGUGAAGGAUGAAGUAUUUCGGUAUGUAAACUUCGAAAGAAUAGGAAGAAUUAAUGACGGUACUAUUUAUAAGGUCCGGCUAACUACGUGCCAGCAGCCGCGGUAAUACGUAGGGACCAAGCGUUGUUCGGAUUUACUGGGCGUAAAGGGCGCGUAGGCGGCGUGGUAAGUCACUUGUGAAAUCUCUGAGCUUAACUCAGAACGGCCAAGUGAUACUGCUGUGCUAGAGUGCAGAAGGGGCAAUCGGAAUUCUUGGUGUAGCGGUGAAAUGCGUAGAUAUCAAGAGGAACACCUGAGGUGAAGACGGGUUGCUGGGCUGACACUGACGCUGAGGCGCGAAAGCCAGGGGAGCAAACGGGAUUAGAUACCCCGGUAGUCCUGGCCCUAAACGAUGAAUACUUGGUGUCUGGAGUUUUAAUGCUCCGGGUGCCGUCGCUAACGUUUUUAGU